GGAAGUAAAAGUCGUAACAAGGUUUCCGUAGGUGAACCUGCGGAAGGAUCAUUAAUGAUUUUUAAAGCGAGUCGAGCGUUAAGCGAGGCUUGCGAAAUAUUUAAAACCCCACUCUUUUUAACCUUAAAAAAUAAAUCAUGAUACAUGAAUUUAAAAAAAAGAUCACUUUCAACAACGGAUCUCUUGGCUCUCGCAUCGAUGAAGAACGCAGCGAAAUGCGAUAAGUAGUGUGAAUUGCAUAAUUUUGUGAAUCAUCGAAUCUUUGAACGCAUAUUGCACUUUCUGGUAUUCCGGAAAGUAUGCCUGUUUGAGGGUCAGUUAAAUAAAAAUCGGUGUUGUUGCCGCUUUUCGUGGUGACGCGUCGGAAUUGAGUUGUCUUACCUUCGGUUAAGUGACUUAAAAUUUUGUAUGAUUUUCGAACGUAUUUAAAUUUAUUUGAACGUUUGAUAUCGAAUGCUUAUUAGGUUCGGUCAUCCUCAUGACUCGCGCCUAUAAUUUUUCAUUAAAUGACCUCAAAUCAGGUAAGAAUACCCGCUGAACUUAAGCAUAUCAAUAAGCGGAGGA
rnacentral:rRNA from 1 species